rnacentral:lncRNA from 1 species
UGGGACCCCUCCUCAAACUGGGACCCCUCCCCAAAAUGGGACCCCUCCCCAAAAUGGGAGACCCCUCCCCAAAAUGGGACCCCCCUUGGAAUGAGACCCCUCCCCAAAACUGAGACCCCUCCCCAUUGGGGUUGGGGGUCCCAGAUUUGGGGGGGUGCAGCCCCCUCCCCACUGGGUUGGGGGUCCAGGAUUUGGGGUGCAGCCCCCUCCCCACUGGGUUGGGGGUCCAGGAUUUGGGGUGCAGCCCCCUCCCCACUGGUCUGGGGGUCCCCAGGCCCUGGAUUUGGGGUGCAGCCCCCUCCCCACUUUGUUAGGGGUCUGGGAUUUGGGGUGCAGCCCCCUCCCCACUGGUCUGGGGGUCUCCAGGACCCAAGGGGGGUGCAGCCCCCUCCCCACUGGUCUGGGGGUCCCCAGGCCCUGGAUUGGGGGUGCAGCCCCCUCCCCAGUGACGCCCCCUCCCCAGAUGGACGCCGAUUUCGUCCCCGAGGGUCCCCCCGACC